AAGACUAUAGACCUGCGGAGUACCUGCGGAGGGAUCAUUAACAAAUCCAAUAAUUGCAGGAGAACACUUGUUCUUUUUGCAAAUAUUAAUCCGCUGGCCGCUAUUUAUAGCAGCUGGCUGUGAUAUAAAUGCGUGUUAUGUUGACAGUGUGUGUAUAAAUUAAUAUUGACAACUUUUAACAACGGAUCUCU
rnacentral:misc_RNA from 1 species